rnacentral:rRNA from 1 species
UACAGAGGGGGCAAGCGUUGUUCGGAUUCACUGGGCGUAAAGGGUGCGUAGGUGGCCGGGUAAGUCUGACGUGAAAUCUCCGAGCCUAACUCGGAAACUGCAUCGGAUACUAUCCGGCUUGAGGGUUGGAGGGGGACUGGAAUACUUGGUGUAGCAGUGAAAUGCGUAGAUAUCAAGUGGAACACCAGUGGCGAAGGCGAGUCCCUGGACAACUCCUGACACUGAGGCACGAAAGCUAGGGGAGCAAACAGG